rnacentral:rRNA from 1 species
CCUACGGGUGGCAGCAGUGAGGAAUAUUGGUCAAUGGACGAGAGUCUGAACCAGCCAAGUAGCGUGAAGGAUGACUGCCCUAUGGGUUGUAAACUUCUUUUAUAUGGGAAUAAAAUGUUCCACGUGUGGGCUUUUGUAUGUACCAUAUGAAUAAGGAUCGGCUAACUCCGUGCCAGCAGCCGCGGUAAUACGGAGGAUCCGAGCGUUAUCCGGAUUUAUUGGGUUUAAAGGGAGCGUAGGUGGAUUGUUAAGUCAGUUGUGAAAGUUUGCGGCUCAACCGUAAAAUUGCAGUUGAAACUGGCAGUCUUGAGUACAGUAGAGGUGGGCGGAAUUCGUGGUGUAGCGGUGAAAUGCUUAGAUAUCACGAAGAACUCCGAUUGCGAAGGCAGCUUACUGGACUGCAACUGACACUGAGGCUCGAAAGUGUGGGUAUCAAACAGGAUUAGAUACCCUUGUAGUC